rnacentral:rRNA from 1 species
GAAUGCUGACAUAAGUAACGAUAAAGCGGGUGAAAAGCCCGCUCGCCGGAAGACCAAGGGUUCCUGUCCAACGUUAAUCGGGGCAGGGUGAGUCGACCCCUAAGGCGAGGCCGAAAGGCGUAGUCGAUGGGAAACAGGUUAAUAUUCCUGUACUUGGUGUUACUGCGAAGGGGGGACGGAGAAGGCUAUGUUGGCCGGGCGACGGUUGUCCCGGUUUAAGCGUGUAGGCUGGUUUUCCAGGCAAAUCCGGAAA